rnacentral:rRNA from 1 species
CACGUAGGGUGCGAGCGUUGUCCGGAAUCAUUGGGCGUAAAGCGCGUGUAGGCGGCCCGAUAAGUCCGCUGUGAAAGUCCAGGGCUCAACCCUGGGAUGCCGGUGGAUACUGUCGGGCUCGAGUCCGGAAGAGGCGAGUGGAAUUCCUGGUGUAGCGGUGAAAUGCGCAGAUAUCAGGAGGAACACCAAUGGCGAAGGCAGCUCGCUGGGACGUGACUGACGCUGAGACGCGAAAGCGUGGGGGAGCAAACAGG